GAUGAACGCUGGCGGCGUGCCUAAUACAUGCAAGUCGAGCGAAUGGAUUAAGAGCUUGCUCUUAUGAAGUUAGCGGCGGACGGGUGAGUAACACGUGGGUAACCUGCCCAUAAGACUGGGAUAACUCCGGGAAACCGGGGCUAAUACCGGAUAACAUUUUGAACCGCAUGGUUCGAAAUUGAAAGGCGGCUUCGGCUGUCACUUAUGGAUGGACCCGCGUCGCAUUAGCUAGUUGGUGAGGUAACGGCUCACCAAGGCAACGAUGCGUAGCCGACCUGAGAGGGCGAACCCCCACAUGGGGACUGAGAUACGGCCCUGACUCCUACGGGAGGCAGCAGUAGGGAAUCUUCCGCAAUGGACGAAAGUCUGACGGAGCGACACCGCGUGGAGGACGAAGGCCUUCGGGUUGUAAACUCCUUUUCCAGGGGAAGAAUAAGGGUAAGAGGAAAUGCUUAUCCGAUGACGGUACUCUGGGAAUAAGCCACGGCUAACUCUGUGCCAGCAGCCGCAGUAA
rnacentral:rRNA from 1 species